rnacentral:lncRNA from 1 species
AGUAGACCCCUCUAUUCUUCCAGGCACUCAAAAAAUUAGUUUGUGUUGGAGUAAAUUUUUACCUACUCUACUUUAACACUCAUUUAAUAGGCUAGAUAUAUGAGAUAUAGUAUAUAAAAUAGUUUAUACACUCAACUAUGGCUAGAUGUGUUCAAGUGCACUACAAAAAGACAAUACAUGAAACUAAUUGUGUUAACACUUGACAGACAUAGAGCG